rnacentral:miRNA from 1 species
AUUGGUGAGGCCAUCUCCAAUG